UAAAUAUAAUAGCAUUUCGCAGACCCUAAAAAUAGAAAUAUUUCCGGAGGACUAUGCCCCCGAAUUGCCGGACGAUUAAACCCCCUACUUGUUUAGGGCCGGCUACGCUCCUGUCCUAACCCUGUCUGUACACAUCCCUAACCGUUACACGGCAAAUAAAGUAACUUUUUUUCUUCUUUCAAUCAUGUAUAAGUGUCGAUAAAUUUAAUACUGGCCACAAUGUGAGGCCGAAGUAGUAUUGUACAAUGCAGCUGCGGUAGUUUGUCUCUGAUCUACUUGAAAAUAUAUCCCAAGAUAUCAACAUUUUGUUGGCAUCUUACUGGCGAUUGAAUAUAGUUGAAGGGUCUUGUAGAUGGAAAUUAUCGAUUGGAAAUUUAUAUACAUUUAUUAGACCUAACCAGGAACAUCUGCGAAAAAAUGCAACUUUAUAUAUAUUAUAUCUUAUUGGAUUCUUCUGAGCCCAAUAGGCAAUAUGGAAAAAUAUUAGGUCGAGACUUCAAUAUUGGGCGAGACCGAAGGUCGAGCCUAAUACUGAAGUCGAGACUUAAUAUUUUGCCAUAUUGGGCGAAGAUGAAUCCAACAAGAGUUUUAUUCAGCAAGAAUACUACA